GAAGAAAAUGAUUCGUUAUCUGCGAUGAGUCCAGCGGUUACGAGUACCAAGGAUCUUCGACUGUUUAAUGAAGAGUGGGAAAAGAGCAGGGUUAGGGGCAGACGAUGAUCUCUCCAUUUUAAUUUUGUUGUUGUUGUUUAUCUCGUUGCUCUCUUCGUUUGUGAUUUUUUUCAGGGUUUCGAUAUCGACUUCUCAAAACUCCGACACAAAUUCGAAACCGGAGCAGUGGAUCUAGACGACGAUGACCUGGUUCUUGACCCUGAUGAUACCAACUUAGCUCUGCUCAACAGGUUGACACAAGCUGGUUCCGGGCCUAGGAGGGGACUAGGGCUGAAGGCCCGAACCCCGCCUGGUUAAACAAAAAAAAAAAAAAAAAAAAGUUUGACGAACUUGGCUGUCUCCUGCUACAAUGACAAGACACGGAUGCAAGGCUGGAGUUAGUCAAAGUGUUGAAAGCAAAUUAUCACCCAUCUGCUGGAGUCACAUACUACAUCACAUUCGAAGCCAAUGAUUGUAAUCAGAAGACUAAACAAUAUCAGGCAGUUGUUCGCCACUUGCCUAGAGAUACUGAAGUUAUCUCUUGCUGCCCUAAACCUUCUUGAAUUUCAGACAAUGGUAUUAUUAAGCCUUGAUUUAUUCUCUCUUGCAAUAAUUUAGCAAAAAAAUAAAAUAAAAUUUUAACUUAUUAAGUUCA